AGUGAUUAUUUAGGGCUAGGUUUAAGCAAGGCGCGCGCGACGAGAGGGAGGCGACGAGCGAUGGAGCGGCGCUUUUCUCAGGUCAGAGAGCGUCAAAAUCUCUGGGAUUCAUACAAAGAGAGCGAGCUACAUUUUCCUGUUUGUAGUGUUCUUCCCUUUUUUUUUUCGUUAUUUGGCGCUGGCGCCCUCCCGUUCGUCGUCGUCUGCUGAUCCCACAGUUGAGUCUCCAGAGUUUGCGUACCUUUGCAAGAAAAGGGAUGCGUGGCCGUGUUGGCCGUGGGGAAAAUUGAAGUCUAUUCGCCCCACGAAGGGAUGAGAGAAAAAAAAAAACUAUAUUGGUUGUUUUUUUCGGUUUUUGGACUUUUGGAAAUUCUUUUUUCUCUGGCUGCUGCUGCAGCAGCUGGUUCCUGGCUGCUACAGAUUGAUGACAGUCGAUUUGGUUCGCUGCAAUGUGGGUGAAAAUUCAACCUGUUUGUAUCUGUGAGGAUUCGAUCACAGUUUUUAGUGGAGUAGUAGCUAGUAGCAGCAGCAGAGCAGGAAAAACAAAGAGAUGGAUUGGAUUUAUUAGCUGGCGAGCUUGGAUUUGGGAGGAAUUCGACACAAGAGCAGAAAGAGUAGAAAUGGAAAAGUCCACCACCACUUUGAGCAUCUCGCAAGCCCGUAGCUACUUCACGAAACUCCACCACCAUGACCACCACGACCACCAGCAAAGCGAAGCGCGCAGAAACCAACAAAAGAGGCCACCAGCAGAUAGUUAGUGCACUCAGGACCACACUCUUGUCAGCGGGUCUCUCGACUUCCCUUUCUUCCUCCUAAGGUAGCAGCCGCGCCAGUGUCAUCAAGCAGCGAGGGUGAGAGAGGGAAGCAGUGCAGCGAUAGAGGCGAAAUCGUGUGACCGCGACACUGCCUCUCCGUUUGGUGGCGCCCCCGAAAGUGAGAGUUUGUAUGGCUGGUGCUGUGGCUAGCGCUGGCCGGUGGCUGGCUUUUGAAAGUUUUGAAGAUCUGGAAUCCUCGCUGCUGCUGCGACCACCACUGCUUCGUAUCUCGGAUCCUCGACACAGGAAAGUGGGAUCUUACGACCGAGGGAAAGGCGAAAGCACCGGAAGUUGAUGACGCCCGGGAAGGAGUUAUGGCGGGAUGGAUACGUGGUUAAAACAAGUUAACCGGAAGAGUACAAAAGCCGAAACAGGGAUUGAACAGGUCGGUCCCCAGUGAAAGCUGCCCGCGCGGCCUUUUGUCCGCUUGGACGUUUUGUCUUUGCUGUGGGGCCUUCCGAGCAAUGGCUGCUGCCGCGCAGUUUUGUGGUGGUGGUCACUGGUAGACACUCAAUCGCUUGCGGUUUGUAGCGAGGACGAUGAUGAUCAACGCAAGGAGCCCAUUUGACAAAACUAGCCAAUCAUUCCCGUGCACGCACACCUCUGGCAGUGUGAUAGAAUUGGCGCCUGCAAAUCUUGGGAUCCUCGAAAAGGAUGUUAAGUAUCCGUUUCCUUAUUUUAUGAGCUUAACGCAACGCAGCACUGCAAAACGCAAAACGCAAACGCAGGAAAGAGAGCUCGACUCGUGAGGAAGGACACCCCGGAGUUUGUGUAACUUCUUCUACACAUAAUCUAUUUUCAAAGUGAUAUCACAUCACGUGGAUCUAAUAAACAACACAAUAUCAGGAGUACUCGAGUGUGCCAAGACCAACCCGGGCAAGCUACAAAACAGAAACCCAACAGAAACCAAUUUUGGAGAACAGAUUCGCAAGUUGCAGCUGCGCGACAAGUCGGGGUGGCCUUCAGGACCAUCUGUGUGGCGUCCACGGGCGAUCGAUGUCUGACAACGAAAGAAAAAGAGAAAAGAAAUGGAGAAGCAGACAACAUUGAAAAGUUGGACCAUUGAGAAAAAUUCCCUAUGGCGAAUGCACGCAAGCUGUUCGGGGUGGUCUCCGUGAAAAAACGAAAUCCGUAUGAUGCGAGAAGAGAACGAUCGCCAGAUUCAGUGCUCCCUCGCUUCCUUGGAAACUCUCGCUUUGCAUCACAAACUACGAUAAAUUCUGUGGAAACUCGAAGUAACUCGAGAGGUAAGAAGCUUUGCGAUUGAAAACCUAGACUCUGAACUUUCACUUCGCUUCGAGAAACCAUACAAAAAAAGAAAGGAGGAAAAGCCAAGAACAAACUGCACGGCUUUGCGUGGGCCAUUUUACAUCUUACACCUUGUCAAAAAGCUGCAAAAGCAAAUUCACAGUGGUGGGAGAUAUCUUUGCUUCUCCACACUCCUGGAGAAUAAAAAGCGGAAUUUUCCAUCAAAAUCCUAUGUUUUCUCCCGUCAAUGUACCUUUUG